UGGACGGACUUAGUGGCUGAGUUGGUAUCUUAAAUAUCUUUCCUUCCAACAAAAUAAAAAAUAAAAAAAUUCAUUCCUAAAUUCACGAACUGUAGGGUGUUCUCUCCUAAGUUCAUAGAUCUGAGCUUUUCUCCUCUCUCUCUCUUUCCAUUGCCUCCUCGUCUUUUCUGCACAACUAGACUUCUCCAUUUUCAGAUCUGGUGCUACCCUAUUUCUCUUCCUUAUUUUCUUAUUUUCCCCUUCUUCUCUUCACCUCUGUCUUUCUCUUCCUUAUACAUGGUUCUCAAAUCUUGACGCCGAACGAGAGCGAGAAGUUCUUUGCUCCUAUCUCUCAGUAUUUCUAGGUCAAAAAACUUCCAAUUAGGUCUCGAUUGUUGCCCAUAGAGUCAAAUCUGCAAUAUUUUUCUAGGUUUGCGAAAAUCAGGCAUGCGUUAGUGGAAAUCAGGGGAAACCUCUUCAAAUUUAGCCUUGGUACAAAGUGGCUUGUGAGAAAAAUUGCACUGCUUCCAGAGAAGGAGAAAAUUGGUUAUUGUGCUGAUAUAUUAGAUGACACUAGUAGCUUUUGCUGAUGUAGUUUUCUUUAUGUAGCUGAAAAUCGGAUUCACAAUUUCACAAUGACAUACAGGUAGAAGAAAGGGAUAUUGAAAUUUAUUUUCUCUUAAUAUGGCUAUUGGGGGAUAUGAGGAGUAUAUGGAUUUAAAGGACGAGAAUGGUGAAGAUAGAUGUGGAGUCAUCAGAAUAACAAGAGCACGAUUCUAAUCUCAAACCUUCAGCAGACUGGUACGUGCUAGUAGUACAUUAGCUGGUCAGAUGGUAGUCUUGAAGAAAACAGGUCAAGGAAUUGGAUUUUAUGUUUUUUGUUAAUUGUGGUAAUAAUUUUUCUCAUUGAUUAGACUUUGGUUUCCUCUAUUUAAAGAAUUCCAAAUAACUUUCUAAACAACACAGAUUGGGUAGGAAUUGGUUAAUCUGUUAUUUUAUAUGGCAAGUUUCAGCUUCAAAGAUUUGAUUGAUCUCCUCUUCUAACGAAUACAGUGGGGUCUGUAAAAGAGAGAUUUGAUAAAUUGAGGAGAUGUGAUAUUUUUUUAAAAAAUUAAAAAGUAAAAGGAAAUGUGAUUGUGUGUGCUCAUACUUUGUGCAUAGUUGGCUUCAAGUCUUUCUCUGCAUUUGAAUCAAAGGAAGUGGGCAUUUGUAUCUGGUAAUGAAUAUAUGCAUGAUAUGAGACUCCAUUAGUGUUGGACAAGUUUGAUGUUUUCAUUGAUUUUAUCUCUUAACUCUUUAAAAUUCAUGUCUUAUCUAUUGGCAGAUUGAUGCGUUCAUGGAAGCUUAAACUACAAAGACAAGUGUUAUGGAAAGUCAAGCUCCUAAGUUAGAAGUUUUAUGUUUUAUCGUACUAGAUAGCUUGGUUUAUUUCAGCAUGUAUUAGAAGUUUUUUAAAUGUUUGUAUCAAAAUAUUCUACUUUAAUGGAUAUUAAAUUUCAGCUUGAUAUUUUUUAAUUAUAUUCAUUUAGCUGUUAAAUUCUGGGAAA